UUUUAAACCAGCGCCGGUGAACAGACAAUCUGGUGUUUAGCAAUGGGUGCUGUUGCAAACAGCUCUGCUCCUUUGCUGCGUGUCCUGAGCACUCGUCCAAGCGUCUCUUUAGAACAGCUCCCGGGGCAGCGGUUUCUGAGUCGCAGCCGGCGGGGUGGCAGCCCUGGGACAGCGUGCGUUCUGCUCCAGGUUCACGCCGCCCCUCGCGUCCGCCCUGUUCUCCGCUUUUCCAUCCUCACUGGCGACAAGUAAUACUUCAUUUCCAUUUCUCUGUUGGCUAGUGAGGCUAACCAGCCUGUCCCAUGGGUAGCAAUCAUGAACUUUCUCCUUUCACGAAUGUGCCCGUUCAUGGCUUCUCACUGCUACAAAGAGUGCUCUCAUUUUGUGGUCAAAUAAAACCCAAACAAAAACUCAGCUCUCUGAAACAGUUUUUCUUUAGGUUUGACAAAAACUUUGUGUUUUCUGUGAGUCGUUGCAGUUUUAUCUGUUAGAGAGAGGAAGGGAUUACAAUUCCUACCUCCCGGAACCUUUUUCUUAAA